GGUUCGGUGGCGUAGUUGGUUAUCGCAUCUGUCUAACAUCAUUUGCCAUAAGCGGAAAUUCCACAGAAGGUCCCCAGUUCGAGCCUGGGUCGAAUCA
rnacentral:tRNA from 1 species